ACGUACACUCCUACGGGAGGCAGCAGUGGGGAAUAUUGCACAAUGGGCGCAAGCCUGAUGCAGCCAUGCCGCGUGUAUGAAGAAGGCCUUCGGGUUGUAAAGUACUUUCAGCGGGGAGGAAGGCGAUAAGGUUAAUAACCUUGUCGAUUGACGUUACCCGCAGAAGAAGCACCGGCUAACUCCGUGCCAGCAGCCGCGGUAAUACGGAGGGUGCAAGCGUUAAUCGGAAUUACUGGGCGUAAAGCGCACGCAGGCGGUCUGUCAAGUCGGAUGUGAAAUCCCCGGGCUCAACCUGGGAACGGCAUUCGAAACUGGCAGGCUAGAGUCUUGUAGAGGGGGGUAGAAUUCCAGGUGUAGCGGUGAAAUGCGUAGAGAUCUGGAAGAAUACCGGUGGCGAAGGCGGCCCCCUGGACAAAGACUGACGCUCAGGUGCGAAAGCGUGGGGAGCAAACAGGAUUAGAAACCCCUGUAGUCCCAUGA
rnacentral:rRNA from 1 species